CCAGAAGCUACAGAGACGGAGAGAGAGGAAACGAACCAAACAACGCGUUCAUCCAUAACAUUGAUUAGUAUAAUAAACUAGAGGUCGACCGAUUAUGAUUUUUCAACACCGAUACCGAUUAUUGGGGGACCCAAAAAAAGCCGAUACCGAUUAACCGGCCGAUUUCUUUUAUUUUUUUUACAUCUAUUUGUAAUAAUGCCAAUUACAACAAUACUGAAUGAACACUUAUUUUAACUUAAUAUAAUACAUCAAUAAAAUCAAUUUAGCCUCAAAUAAAUAAUGAAACAUGUUCAAUUUGGUUUAAAUAAUGCAAAAACAAAGUGUUGGAGAAGAAAGUAAAAGUGCAAUAUGUGCCAUGUAAGAAAGCUAAUGUUUAAGUGCCUUGCUCAGAACAUGGGAACAUAUGAAAGCUGGUGGUUCCCUUUAACAUGAAUCUUCAAUAUUCCCAGACCCUCCAGAUGUGUAUGUGGAUUACUCGGGCUGAAGCAACAAAACCAGACAUUUGACUUGUCAGUUUGUUGUGGAUCCCCAGCCCCCUGCAGAGGCUUUCCCUUACCAUUUGUGGGCACAGUGAAGGACAAGGUGGCAUUGCCCUGUGUGUUGUUGGCAUGGCAGUGGACGGUCUCUGAGAAGCCUAGUGCCCUCUUUAGGGUCACCAUGGCAACUGACCCAUGCAUCUCCACCCUGGUACUGGGCAGGUGUCCUGCUGGAAGAGACCACUCCACAGUGCUGGGUGGCUCUGAAUCCACAAUGCACAGACAUGUUACCAUAGAGAUGUCUGAAGUGCAGGCGGAGCCCACUUUGAUCUCAGGGGGGU
rnacentral:lncRNA from 1 species